rnacentral:rRNA from 1 species
UACGUAGGGGGCAAGCGUUGUCCGGAUUUAUUGGGCGUAAAGAGCGUGUAGGCGGCUUGGUAGGUCCGCUGUGAAAACUCGAGGCUCAACCUCGAGAUGUCGGCGGAAACCACUUGGCUAGAGUCCGGAAGAGGAGAGUGGAAUUCCCGGUGUAGCGGUGAAAUGCGCAGAUAUCGGGAGGAACACCAGUGGCGAAGGCGGCUAUCUGGGCUGAAACUGACGCUGAGGCGCGAAGGCUAGGGGAGCAAACAGG